GACAACGUGGCCGAGCGGUUAAGGCGAUUGACUAGAAAUCAAUUGGGAUUAUCCCGCGUAGGUUCAAAUCCUGCCGUUGUCG
rnacentral:tRNA from 1 species